rnacentral:tRNA from 1 species
GCCCUGAUGGCGGAAUUGGCAGACGCGCAGCGUUCAGGUCGCUGUUUUCUUACGAAAGUGCAAGUUCGAAUCUUGUUCAGGGCA